AUUGAACGCUGGCGGCAGGCCUAACACAUGCAAGUCGGGCGAGCGGCGGACGGGUGAGUAAUGCCUAGGAAUCUGCCUGGUCGAGGGGGAUAACGUCCGGAAACGGGCGCUAAUACCGCAUACUAUCAGAUGUGCCCAGAUGGGAUUAGCUAGUAGGUGGGGUAAUGGCUCACCUAGGCGACGAUCCCUAGCUGGUCUGAGAGGAUGACCAGCCACACUGGAACUGAGACACGGUCCAGACUCCUACGGGAGGCAGCAGUGGGGAAUAUUGCACAAUGGGCGCAAGCCUGAUGCAGCCAUGCCGCGUGUAUGAAGAAGGCCUUCGGGUUGUAAAGUACUUUCAGCGAGGAGGCGUUACUCGCAGAAGAAGCACCGGCUAACUCCGUGCCAGCCGCCGCGGUAAUUC
rnacentral:rRNA from 1 species